AUUUUCGAAUACUGCAACUGUUUGUUUUGUAACGGAGAAAAUGUCUCUAGAAUAAAAUAGCACUGUGUUGUUCUUCAUAUAAACUGUUCGGACCUAGGGUUAGGGUUUUAGAGAGUUGAAAGAAGAGGAAGAUCGAUGGCUACCAGGGUUGCUCUGAAAGCGAAUGGCAAGAAGGGCUCAAAGACCUCGGAGGAGCGAUCGACGGUCAAGUGCUUGAAGGAAUGGAGCACUUGGAUGAUGAAGAAGGCCAAGGUCAUAACUCACUAUGGUUUCAUCCCCCUUGUGAUCAUCAUUGGCGUGAACUUGAAGCGAAAACCAACGCUCUCUCAGCUCCUCACCCCCUUUUGAGCCGAAAUCUUGGAUGCCCAGAUCGCGGAAUAGGUUCAAUGCGGUGAUUUCUCUGUUGUUUCUCGUCGAUGGGUCGACCCCUAUUCAUCGAAUAUAAAUUAAGAAUAACAACCAAGUUUUAGAAGUUGAGGUAGAAUGAAUUGCAGCAGAGCUUUUUGCUGUUUGGUUGUGGUAGUCUUUCGAAAGGGAGCGAGGCUGGAACGUUGCUAAUAUUUUCAGAUGCCAAAUCAGUGGUUGGUAUUUUGGACUUUGGUUAUUCUCCUUUACCAUGGGAGGCCUCUUAUUGAGUGGAUACUAUUAAAUCUUUUACUGCUACUUUCGUAAAUGUUUAGUUUUUUUGCCUAGGUCCUUUAAUGGGGCUACCGAUUCAAUAGUUUCUCUAAUGAAGAAUUCAGGUAUAGUGUAGUUAUUUUGGACAGCCCGCCUCAUUGUAUAGAUUCUCUUUGUCUCUGUUAA